AAUAAUAAUAAAUAGAAAGAGAAGAAAAGAGGGUUUAAUUUAAUAUAAAUAAAUUUGUGUGCAUAAAUAAAAAUGGUUGGGAGUGGAAAUGAAGAAAAGAAAUUGAAAUGAGAGAUAGAGAAAUGGAGUAUGAUAAUCGCGAAGCACAGGAUCCGGCCUCUCUAAGCUUUCCAGUUGGUUUAGUUCUUUUGUUAACGUUUUUGUUUUGUAUGUGUUGUUUCUUUUGCUGUUGUCUUCACUGGGAGAAGCUCCGAUCCUUUCUUGGCUGCCCCGAUCAUCUCCACCACCACCAUCCUCCCAUUCCCCAGCCCCAAUCCCCGCCCCCGAUAAAGUUUCGCCUAUUCACUCGAUAUGGAAGGAGAAUCGGCCGCAAAGCGUAUCCGUGUUGAUGCCCGGCGACGAGGUUCCGAGGUUUAUAGCAAUGGCGUGUCCGGCGUUGGUGGAAAUUGUAGUACAAAAACCUUCGCAAAGUAUUUCAGAUAAUCCUUAAUUAUUCUCUGUAGCCUUCCCUCUUUAAUUAAUUAAAUACUGCUUUUUUUUUUUCUUCUUUUUAAUUAUAAGGUUUUUGUGCAUAUAUAUUAUAUUACAAUAUAUAGAUGUGCAUUUGAAUAUUCCUUUGGAAUUUCUACCAAUGUUCAAAUGUUUCUUUUGAUUUAA